AUACGUAGGUGGCGAGCGUUGUCCGGAAUUACUGGGUGUAAAGGGCGCGUAGGCGGGGAUGUAAGUCAGAUGUGAAAUUCCGGGGCUUAACCCUGGAGCUGCAUCUGAAACUAUGUCUCUUGAGUGCUGGAGAGGAAAGCGGAAUUCCUAGUGCAGCGGUGAAAUGCGUAGAUAUUAGGAGGAACACCAGUGGCGAAGGCGGCUUUCUGGACAGUAACUGACGCUGAGGCGCGAAAGCGUGGGGAGCAAACAGGAUUAGAUACCCUGGUAGUCCACGCCGUAAACGAUGGAUACUAGGUGUAGGAGGUAUCGACGCCUUCUGUGCCGGAGUUAACACAAUAAGUAUCCCACCUGGGGAGUACGACCGCAAGGUUGAA
rnacentral:rRNA from 1 species